GGGUGAUUAGCUCAAUGGUAGAGCAGGAGACUCUUAAUCUCUUGGUUGAGGGUUCGACUCCCUCGUCACCCA
rnacentral:tRNA from 1 species